GAUGAACGCUAGCGGCAGGCUUAAUACAUGCAAGUCGUGGGGCAGCAUGAGUGUAGCAAUACAUUUGAUGGCGACCGGCAAACGGGUGCGGAACACGUACACAACCUUCCUAUAAGUGGGGAAUAGCCCAGAGAAAUUUGGAUUAAUACCCCGUAACAUAACGAUGUGGCAUCACAUUGUUAUUAUAGCUUCGGCGAUUAUUGAUGGGUGUGCGGCUGAUUAGAUAGUUGGCGGGGUAACGGCCCACCAAGUCUACGAUCAGUAGCUGAUGUGAGAGCAUGAUCAGCCACACGGGCACUGAGACACGGGCCCGACUCCUACGGGAGGCAGCAGUAAGGAAUAUUGGUCAAUGGACGCAAGUCUGAACCAGCCAUGCCGCGUGAAGGAUUAAGGUCCUCUGGAUUGUAAACUUCUUUUAUCUGGGACGAAAAAAGGCUUUUCUAAGUCACUUGACGGUACCAGAUGAAUAAGCACCGGCUAACUCCGUGCCAGCCGCCGCAGUAAUAC
rnacentral:rRNA from 1 species